CCCACCAGUGUGCGUUUACCCCCACUCGUUGGCCGCGUGCUAUGUUACGCGUGGCGUCGACACGAGAGCAGUGAGUCAGUGGUGCGCGGGCCUUCGUGGCGCGAGGACGUGCGCUAUGUUGACAUUUCCGCUACGUAAACGCGCGUGCUCGUUCGUUUACCUCGUGUGAGUGCGUGUAAUAACAGAAAAACUAAUUUCAUCUCGACUGUUCCUCGAUAAUCGGACUGGGUUUAUCCUUCUGCGUGCUGCUGGACUAAUUUUGUUAUCUUUUUUUCUUUAAUUUUCAUUUAGUUUCGCUGGUGUUCUCGAACUUAGUGGAAAGAGUUGGAGCAAGAUUGGCAACGUUUCUUCAUUUGGCGACGGACCAACAACCAAGGUCCACCGAUGGCCAUCUAGUAGCCGAAUCUCCAGUGCACCACACUCUCAUAAAUACGCGUUGAAGCACCGAUUCACCAGGUUGGAGGGAAACUGCUGCCACGUCGU